CCGGUACAUUAACGUGCCCCGCCUCGGGGAGUACGGCCGCGAAGGCUAAAACUCAAAGGAAUUGAACGGGGGCCCGCGACAAGCGGCGGAGCAUGCGGAUUAAUUCGAUGCAACGCGAAGAACCUUACCAAGGCUUGACAUGUUCUCGAUCGCCGUAGAGAUACGGUUUCCCCUUUGGGGCGGGUUCACAGGUGGUGCAUGGUUGUCGUCAGCUCGUGUCGUGAGAUGUUGGGUUAAGUCCCGCAACGAGCGCAACCCUCGUUCCAUGUUGCCAGCACGUCGUGGUGGGGACUCAUGGGAGACUGCCGGGGUCAACUCGGAGGAAGGUGAGGACGACGUCAAAUCAUCAUGCCCCUUAUGUCUUGGGCUUCACGCAUGCUACGAUGGCCGGUACAAUGGGUUGCGAUACUGUGAGGUGGAGCUAAUCCCAAAAAGCCGGUCUCAGUUCGGAUUGGGGUCUGCAACUCGACCCCAUGAAGUCGGAGUCGCUAGUAAUCGCAGAUCAGCAACGCUGCGGUGAAUACGUUCCCGGGUCGACGCGGCCG
rnacentral:rRNA from 1 species